rnacentral:tRNA from 1 species
AGAAUCGUGAGGGUUCAAGUCCCUCUAUCCCCA